rnacentral:rRNA from 1 species
UACGAAGGGGGCUAGCGUUGUUCGGAAUCACUGGGCGUAAAGCGCGCGUAGGCGGAUUGUUAAGUCAGGGGUGAAAUGCCGAGGCUCACCCUCGGAACUGCCUUUGAUACUGGCAAUCUUGAGUCCGGGAGAGGUGAGUGGAACUCCUAGUGUAGAGGUGAAAUUCGUAGAUAUUAGGAAGAACACCAGUGGCGAAGGCGGCUCACUGGCCCGGUACUGACGCUGAUGUGCGAAAGCGUGGGGAGCAAACAGG